rnacentral:rRNA from 1 species
UGCAAGUCGAGCGCGGGAAGCGAGCAGAAGCCCUUCGGGGUGGACGCUCGUGGAACGAGCGGCGGACGGGUGAGUAACACGUGGGCAACCUACCUGUGAGACGGGGAUAACUCCGGGAAACCGGGGCUAAUACCGGAUAACGCAUCGAACCGCAUGGUUCGAUGAUCAAAGAUGGCUUCUAGCUAUCACUCACAGAUGGGCCCGCGGCGCAUUAGUUAGUUGGUGAGGUAACGGCUCACCAAGGCGACGAUGCGUAGCCGACCUGAGAGGGUGAUCGGCCACACUGGGACUGAGACACGGCCCAGACUCCUACGGGAGGCAGCAGUAGGGAAUCAUCCGCAAUGGACGCAAGUCUGACGGUGCAACGCCGCGUGAGCGAUGAAGGUCUUCGGAUCGUAAAGCUCUGUUGUGAGGGAAGAACAAGUGCCGUUCGAAUAGGGCGGCACCUUGACGGUACCUCACCAGAAAGCCCCGGCUAACUACGUGCCAGCAGCCGCGGUAAUACGUAGGGGGCAAGCGUUGUCCGGAAUUAUUGGGCGUAAAGCGCGCGCAGGCGGUUCCUUAAGUCUGAUGUGAAAGGCCACAGCUCAACUGUGGAGGGCCAUUGGAAACUGGGGAACUUGAGGACAGAAGAGGAGAGCGGAAUUCCACGUGUAGCGGUGAAAUGCGUAGAUAUGUGGAGGAACACCAGUGGCGAAGGCGGCUCUCUGGUCUGUAACUGACGCUGAGGCGCGAAAGCAUGGGUAGCGAACAGGAUUAGAUACCCUGGUAGUCCAUGCCGUAAACGUUGAGUGCUAGGUGUUAGGGGGUCCAACCCUUAGUGCUGCAGUUAACGCAAUAAGCACUCCGCCUGGGGAGUACGGCCGCAAGGCUGAAACUCAAAGGAAUUGACGGGGGCCUGCACAAGCGGUGGAGCAUGUGGUUUAAUUCGACGCAACGCGAAGAACCUUACCAGGUCUUGACAUCUUCGGACAGCCCAAGAGAUUGGGUCUUCCCUUCGGGGACCGAAUGACAGGUGGUGCA